rnacentral:rRNA from 1 species
GAAGAAAGAGGGAGGCGUGCUUAACACAUGCGAGUCGAACGAAAAGAGGGAAAGAGCUUGCUCUUUCCGGAAUUGAGUGGCAAACGGGUGAGUAACACGUAAACAACCUGCCUUCAGGAUGGGGACAACAGACGGAAACGACUGCUAAUACCGAAUAAGUUCCAAGGGCCGCAUGGCCCAUGGAAGAAAAGGUGGCCUCUACCUGUAAGCUAUCGCCUGAAGAGGGGUUUGCGUCUGAUUAGCUGGUUGGAGGGGUAACGGCCCACCAAGGCGACGAUCAGUAGCCGGUCUGAGAGGAUGAACGGCCACACUGGAACUGAGACACGGUCCAGACUCCUACGGGAGGCAGCAGUGGGGAAUCUUCCGCAAUGGGCGAAAGCCUGACGGAGCAACGCCGCGUGAGUGAUGACGGCCUUCGGGUUGUAAAACUCUGUGAUCCGGGACGAAAAGGCAGAGUGCGAAGAACAAACUGCAUUGACGGUACCGGAAAAGCAAGCCACGGCUAACUACGUG